UACGUAGGGCGCAAGCGUUAUCCGGAAUUAUUGGGCGUAAAGCGCACGUAGGCGGCUUAGCAAGUCGGAAGUGAAAGCCUCGGCUCAACCAAGGAAGUGCUUUCGAAACUGCUGAGCUUGAGUAGUUAAGAGGAUCGCGGAAUUCCCGGUGUAGAGGUGAAAUUCGUAGAUAUCGGGAGGAACACCAGUGGCGAAGGCGGCGAUCUGGGAACAUACUGACGCUGAGGUGCGAAAGCGUGGGGAGCAAACAGG
rnacentral:rRNA from 1 species